GUAGGGCAUAGCCCGGCGAAAGUCGGAUUAACACCCUAUGUUUCCUUUGAUGGCAUCUGAUUUGGAACAAAGAUUUAUCGCUAUGGGAUGGGGAUGCGUCUGAUUAGGGUAGUAGGCGGGGCAACGGCCCACCUAGCCGACGAUCAGUAGGGGUUCUGAGAGGAAGGUCCCCCACAUUGGAACUGAGACACGGUCCAAACUCCUACGGGAGGCAGCAGUGAGGAAUAUUGGUCAAUGGGCGAGAGCCUGAACCAGCCAAGUAGCGUGCAGGAUGACGGCCCUAUGGGUUGUAAACUGCUUUUGCAUGGGAAUAAAGUGAGGGACGCGUCCCUUUUUGUAUGUACCAUGAGAAUAAGGACCGGCUAAUUCCGUGCC
rnacentral:rRNA from 1 species